rnacentral:rRNA from 1 species
CAGGGAUUGCCUCAGUAACGGCGAGUGAAGCGGCAACAGCUCAAAUUUGAAAUCUGACCCCCUCGGGGCCCGAGUUGUAAUUUGUAGAGGGUGUUUCGGGCGCGGCGCCGGUCUAAGUUCCUUGGAACAGGACGUCACAGAGGGUGAGAAUCCCGUAUGUGACCGGCGAUCAAGCCCAUGUGAAGCCCCUUCGACGAGUCGAGUUGUUUGGGAAUGCAGCUCAAAAUGGGUGGUAAAUUUCAUCUAAAGCUAAAUACUGGCCAGAGACCGAUAGCGGACAAGUAGAGUGAUCGAAAGAUGAAAAGCACUUUGGAAAGAGAGUCAAACAGUACGUGAAAUUGUUGAAAGGGAAGCGCUUGCAAUCAGACCGGUCCGGGGGUGAUCAGCCGCUGCUCGUCAGCGGUGCACUCGCCCUCGAUCGGCCCAGCAUCGGUUUGGGCGGCGGGAAAAAAGUCCCGGGAAUGUAGCUUCUCUCGGGGAGUCUUAUAGCCCGGGUCGGCAUGCCGCCCGCCUGGACCGAGGACCGCGCUUCGGCUAGGAUGCUGGCGUAAUGGUUGCAAGCGACCCGUCUUGAAACACGGACCAAGGAGUCUAACAUCUAUGCGAGUGUUUGGGUGUCAAACCCGGGCGCGGAAUGAAAGUGAACGGAGGUGGGAACCCGUCAGACGGCGCACCAUCGACCGAUCCAGAUGUCUUCGGAUGGAUUUGAGUACGAGCAUAGCUGUUGGGACCCGAAAGAUGGUGAACUAUGCCCGGAUAGGGUGAAGCCAGAGGAAACUCUGGUGGAGGCUCGCAGCGGUUCUGACGUGCAAAUCGAUCGUCAAAUCUAGGCAUAGGGGCGAAAGACCAAUCGAACCAUCUAG